CUCUCUCCAAGAAUGGACUUCUUACAAGGUACCUCGGCUUCAUUCAAUGCAUAGGAUGGAUGGUGUUCAUGGGAAAAAAAAUCCAGAGGAGUGUAGUGAAGGAGAAGUUUGACCAGGAUUUCCUCUUCAUUUGACCUAAAAGUUGGAAGUCUGAAAAAUGAGGAAAUGAAGAAGGGAGCAGUUGGCAGGAGACUACAGAGUUAGUAGAAGGUUGGAUAAAAUCUGGCGGAUACAAGUGGCAGAUGGACAAAAUAUUUUUGUUCCUGGGCCGAUCUUUGAACUAUGGAAAUUUUCCCUGAGAAUCUACAACUACUUUCUGGAAGGUGUGGGAUAGGGUCUGCCAAGAACUACUCACCGUGUUGGACCUCAGGAUUGUAGAGGAAUCCCCUAGUGCAGCGUUUCUCACACUGGGGGUCCCACCCCAAAAGGGGAUGGCAAGGUGAGUGCAGAAGGGACACUUGUAGGGUCACCAUACAUUUGGGCUUUCUCAGACAUGACCUCUUCACUUCUGUGCCACCUUCAUGGCAGGGCUACACUGGGUUCCACCCUCAUUUCUGCCCUGUCUCUCACGGUGGCUGUGAUCUCCCCAUCAAGAAUGGCCAGAUAGGGGAAAGGGAACUCCUGUCCCUGUCCAGGCUGGCUAAACUAGCAGCUGGGAACCCCAGACUCGUAGCAGCAAGGGGAGAUCAGAUUUUACAUGCAGGGCAGAUUUCACAGCUUGUGACACAUUUUUCAUGGCUGAGAAAUUGGUAGGGCCCUACUCAUAGAGUCUCAGGGACUUUUUUCCCCAUAGUGGUCUGCACUGGAUGGUAGUCUCCAUUAGAAUGGUCUGGCCAUGCUUUGAAAACCAAGGGGAGAUCUUUGAUUCAUUGUUUUGCUGCUUCUUUUCAGUCCAGCAUCAUGGAUUAAGGGUACUGGCAGCUCAAACUCAGGUUUUGGUGAAAAGCAUGAUGAGGAGGCCCUCUUGGUCUUUUCAAGUCUUCUGUAGGUCCACAUAGUACAGCCUCUGUCUUGUUUCUCUUCCGUACAUGGCAGAUUUCAUCAGCAGCUGCCCUUGCCCUAUUCGUAACCUUAAAUUAUCUUUGCCACUUGGCCAGGAGAUUGGACUUCAAGGUUGGUA